CACCCAUUCACACUCCAUUCACACUCAUCCCUCGAAUGUUUCCAGCAGCCCUCAUCCCUCGAACUCUUCUCCUCCGGUAGAAGGUGGUGUCGCCGCCGGCGGGGACAGACCGUGGGUGCCCUCAUCAUCUGGGGAAGCUCUACUCGGCCCUCUUCGCAUCGUUCCUCCUCAUCUCGCCGUCGCACGAAGUUCUGAGUUGAGCUCGUGGCGUCGCCGUCGCGAAGGGUUCCUCCCCUCCUCACCAUCCAUUGUUUCUGAUUCUCUGCUCCUCGCCGGUAGUAGUUGCUGCGUGUAUUGGCUUUGAUGUUUGUGCAAAGGAGUUGAAGAUUGAUCAGCCUUGAAGUUUGGUAAAUGUGGUGAUUCAUAUCUUCAAAAUUUGCUUCAGGUUGGAGAAGGUGGCACCCAACUUUCUGGAGGAUAGAAGCAGAGAAUUGCUAUAGCUGAUUGGGAGUAGCAAAGGUGGUUGAGAACGACAUGUUUGUUUUGAUGAACAAAGAACGGACAUAUUCAAUCUCAAGCUGCACACUGCUGGGAUCAUUGCUGCCAGUUUCGGAUUGGCAAAUCUUUUCUCCAGGCCCGGUGGAGGGUUCAUAUCUGAUGCAGUUUCAAAGAGGUUUGGAAUGAGGGUUUGAAAUUGGAUUGCAAGACAAGGAGAAUGUUUGAGGAAAAGGGGUGUUACAGGUUACAGGCAGGAGAGACAGAGCCAAGCCUCUGCCAUUCAAGAUGGAUUCUAGCGGCCCAUAGGUCUUUGCCGGAGCUAAUGAAGGGAACCCAAGAGUCAGAUCCAAGUUUAUUGCACCAUGUUAUUAUAUGAACAA